rnacentral:sRNA from 1 species
GUUUGCACUCAUCGGGGAAGGGUGAGAACCUUCGACUAAGGUUCGAUUCGAUUCGAGCGAAAGCGAGAGAACGUUGCCACAGGCAACGGCCCGAAGGGUGAGGAGCGAAGCGACGAAUAAUCCUUCCCCCACCACCA